UAAGGUAAACUUGACCCCGAUGUUGCCGUCACGCUGCAGAAGAGUAACAUUCUCUGAAUUCAACCUGUUCAGUGGGAUAUACUGUUGUGUUUAUUUCCUGUGGAUUAGGUUUACUUUACAAAGUCACACAGCGAACUGAGCGUUGAUUAGUGGAUUAUUUAUUGUAGUAGCUUCUUCCCAAGUGUCGCGGGAACAGAAUGGCGGGUUUAGAGAUGCAAAGAAAAACACAUGAGGUCGGAGUUUUCUUAGAGCUGAGGAGGAGGCUUCACACUGGACUCCUCAUCGUCAGGAAAGACGGAGCCGGAAGUCCUGCUGAUGUUGUUGUGACAGGUGGAGAUUCAGCGCUCUGCAUCCGGACUUUGAAAGGCGACCUGAGCCUGGGUUUGCCAUCAGGAGUCACCUUGGAGCCGGGAUCCUGCAUUCCGACAUCCGCUGGAAAAUCCUGCGGAGAGGAGCUACAUUACAGACUGCGCAUCAAUGUUGCAGAGAGCUCAGAUGAAGAGGCUUCUGACAGUGUGAUGGAGACACUCCGAGCAAAAGAGACUUAUUGCUUCCACUGUCAGGGCUGCAUGACCAGGCUGCUGGAGGACAGAGUGUUUAAGAGAGUGCUUCCUCUCCCUAAUGGCAACUGGAACGCCCUUGUGGACGACUGGUGUUGCCACUCGGAUCCGUUCGCCAAGGAGAAGUUGCAGCCCAGACCAGAGGACUGUUUACUGGGCGACACUUUCCUCCUCUUAGCCAGAGAUGACAGCUGUGAUCAGACUCUCACAGAGGAAGUGAGCCGAGUCAGCACAGACGACGGUCAAGAUUCAAAGAAACCCUGCCGCCGGCUUGUACUCAUCUCCUGUAAGAGCUGUGCUGCAGAACUGGGAGAGGCCGUUGCACCAGGGACCCUGAAAUUGUACUUCACACAAGUGUUGGUGGAGCCUGCAGUGGGAGACAGGAAGACAGAAGCCUCAAUUAAAAGAUCUGUCUUUGUGGAGAGGACAAUAGCAGCCAGACUGGCGGAGCUGUCCAACUCACUGAGCACCUUCCACUUCACUGUCCAGACUCCUGAUGAAAAACCCUUCUUAUUGCUCUGGCUACUGAACAGCGAUUCCAUCAUAGCGUCAAUCCCGGAGACGUGUGACGGGACUCUUCACAGUCCAUCACCCAGAGCAGCCAGAGCCCUGAAACUGCUCUACGUAGCCUGCUCCAACCCGGGCAUCAUGCAGAGAGAGGUUGUAACUAGUUGGGAGGUCAAUGUCAUCGGACAUCCUGUGUUGCUGCCGCAGAAGGUGUGCGAGGAGCUACAGCAAGUGAUAGAUGACAGCAAUUCUACACUUCCUGCAUCGAUGCGUCACAUGAGGUCCUAUGAGAUUUCUAUGAUCAGUCCAGACAAUGAACGGAUGUUCAGCCCCCUCGAGCCAGUGUCUCCACUCCUCCAGCGCGAGUUUGACCGCCAGCAACUCCCGGUUACCAACGUCGUAGUUCCGCUCCGCUUUGGACAACCGCUGUGACAGGAAGGCACAAGGAUGCACCUUACCAUCCUGCUCUGACCGCUGGGAGAGGAUGGCCCCGACCCCUUGGAAGCGUCCACCUCUACCAUGAACUGUAGUUGAGGGUCUGGCAGGGUGAGGAUGGAAGCCGAGGUAAAGCGGUGCUUGAGGAUCCGAAAAGCAGCAUCAGCUUCAGGAGACCAGUGGAACUGCACCUGUGUGGAGGUGGCAUACCUGAGACUCUGAGGUGAAAGCUCAGAAACCAUGACGUCAUGACUCUGCUCGUCACUCUCGAUGGAGAAUUCAAGUGGAAACUCAUGUACAUAUGUUCGUAUAUGUGAAGGUGAUAUCCUGCACAGAUUUCCAGUAAUGAAUAAGAAUGGAGAUAACAGAAGAAGAAAAUGCAGCGAGUGUGGAAUAGCUUGUCUGGCGUUGUCUAGCUGUUGUUCCAGGUUCUGUUCACAUGUUCAGCAAUGCAUCAUCACCUGCAAGCAGAUUCAUGUUGACACAGGUUGUUGCCUAGCCGCUUUGAUAACAGACAUCCAGUAAAUGCAAAACUUGAAAUAAGAAUGACAUCAAACUUCUUUUUUUUUUUUAUAGAUGCAAUUUUGUAUCCAAAUGUGUUGUUAUCCUUGUAUAAGUGUAAUGACAAAUGCCUGUAUUUGUACAGUUCAAACAGUUUGUCCAUUUCAAAACUCUUGCUUUGUAUAUUUCUUACCAUGGGCAACUCAAAUAUAAUAAACUGUUGUCUUUUGAAAUGAU